rnacentral:sRNA from 1 species
GCCAGGCGUGGUGGUGCACGCCUAUAAUCCUAGUAGCUUGGGAGGCUGAGACAGGUGUAUCAAGUUCAAAGCCAACCUCAGCAAUGUUGAGGUGCUAAGCAACUCAUUGAGACCCUGUCUCUA